CACAGGUUCUGGGUAAAUAAAAGCUUUGUUACAAAAUAAAAUAGCUUGGUCUUAAUAUUACAUCUAUUUAAGGAAAGGAACAGAUUUUGCAUCCAGUUCCCCCCGGAGAAUCUUCCCCACAAUUAAAUCAUAGCUGAAAAGGAAACUAUCCUUGGAAUAAGCACUGUCCUGUCCUCUUUCUAAGGGGACUCCAAACAGGAAAUUGGUUUCCCCUGUCAGGAACUUCUGGCACCUUGGUAGAUCUUUAUCACAUCACAGAAUUACAGAUUUUAGAACUGGAAGGAACCCUGAAGGUCAAUCACUCAGCUCCUCAAGGCUUCCUUCUUUCAAGAGGACAGGAUAGCCAUCACUGGAGGCGUGCGGGACCCCAGGACACAACUGAAAAUGUGUCUUCGUGGUUUGGUGGUCCUGUGUUAGAAAAUCAGGGUGAUCUGACUACCUGGGUUUGGAGAUGGGCAUCUUGUUUUCUGGCAGAAUUGAGGAAAGCAAGGCUGCUUUAGGCUGUGUGUAAAAUUGUAAACUGGUUCUCAGAACAAACUCCAAGUCACACCUAUCUGAAGCCGGCUUGACGGCAGGGAGAGCUGGAGAGCGGAAGAAUGUGCUGAGGAAGGGAGUGCUCGGUACUUUUCCAUUCACAUCUCCACAGUGGCUUUUCUUGUUUAUUUCAACCUCCACCAGCGGAACCCUGUCAGCUGCCUGAAAUCCGAGUCAUUAAACUGUUCCCUGAGUCUAUUUAUGAGAAAAGUAUCAGACAAAUUUCAACAGAAGGGCAUCCUACAAAAGUGUUCACCAGUAUUCCACAGAACUAUCAAGGAAAGUCUGAGAAAUUGCAGCAGCCAAGAGUAGCCUCAGAAGAUAUGACAACUUAAUGUAAUGUAGUAUCCCGGAUGGGAUCAUGAAACAGAAAAAGGUAAGGUAAACCCAGACAAAUCUGAAUAAAAUGAGGAGCUUUAGUUAAUAAUAUUGUAUCAGUAUUGUUUCAUUAGUUG